rnacentral:lncRNA from 1 species
GUGAUCAGAUCUCUGUCUCUGUCUGUGUGUCUCUCUCUUCUUUUCUCUGUCUCUCUGUCUUUGUCUUCUGUCUGUCUCUCUCUCUGCUCUCUUUCUUUCUCUUCUCUCUCUCCCCCUCCCUCCCCAUCUCUCCUUUCCCUCCUCUCUCUUUUCUCUCUCUCCUCCCUGUCUGUUUCUGUCUCCUCCUUUCUUCCCUCUCUUUCUAUUUUCUCUCUCUCUCUCCUCUCUCUCUGUCUCUGUCUCUCUCCUUAUUCUCUCUCCCCUCUCUGUCUUUCUCUUCUCUUUCUCCCUUCUCUCUCCUUUCCCUCCUCUCUCUUUUCUCUCUCUCCUCCCUGUCUGUUUCUGUCUCCUUCUCCUUUCUUCCCUCUCUUUCUAUUUUCUCUCUCUCUCUGUCUCUGUCUCUCUCCUUAUUCUCUCUCCCCUCUCUGCUUUUCUCUUCUCUUUAUCCCUUCUCUCUCCUUUCCCUCCUCUCUCUUUUCUCUCUCUCCUCCCUGUCUGUUUCUGUCUCCUUCUCCUUUCUUCCCUCUCUUUCUAUUUUCUCUCUCUCUCUCCUCUCUCUCUGUCUCUGUCUCUCUCCUUAUUCUCUCUCCCCUCUCUGCCUUUCUCUUCUCUUUCUCCCUUCUCUCUCCUUUCCCUCCUCUCUCUUUUCUCUCUCUCCUCCCUGUCUGUUUCUGUCUCCUUCUCCUUUCUUCCCUCUUUCUAUUUUCUCUCUCUCUCCUCUCUCUCUGUCUCUCUCCUUAUUCUCUCUCCCCUCUCUGUCUUUCUCUUCUCUUUCUCCCUUCUCUCUACUUUCCCUCCUCUCUCUUUCUCUCUCUCUGUUUCUGUCUCCCUCUCCUCCCUCCCCCUCUCUUUCUCUUCUCUCUCUUUUCUCUUUCUUUUUCUCUUUCCUCUCUGUCUGUCUGUCUCUCUAAUAGACAUAUUUGCACAUGUAUUGGAUUAACCAUAUAUACAUAACUUUAUGUAUAUGUGAAGAGAAAGAGAAGGAAGAAAGAAAAGAGAAAGAAGAGAGAGAAAUAGAGAUAGGGAGAAGAGAGGGAGGGAGGGAAGGAGAGAGAGAGAGAGAGAGAGAGAGAGAGAGAGAGAGAGAGAGAGAGAGAGAGAGAGAGAGAGAGAGAGCUAAUCUUAAAAAAAAAUUGGAAAG